rnacentral:rRNA from 1 species
UACGGGGGGGGCAAGCGUUGUUCGGAAUUACUGGGCGUAAAGGGCUCGUAGGUGGCUUAGCAAGUCGGGUGUGAAAACUCCAGGCUCAACCUGGAGACGCCACUCGAGACUGCUAUGGCUAGAGUCCGGUAGGGGACCACGAAUUCCUGGUGUAGCGGUGAAAUGCGCAGAUAUCAGGAGGAACACCGGUGGCGAAGGCAGGUCUCUGGGCUGACACUGACGCUCAUGCACGAAAGCGUGGGAAGCAAACAGG